rnacentral:lncRNA from 1 species
CUUCAAUACUGUCUCUCCUGAAAACAUUGUAGCCAGGCACAAUCAAAGCAGCACAUGGAGAGUUUGUAUGGAGCCAUGUCUCUGAGAGGCAGAGGAAGUCAAGGUUGGAGUCUGGGCAGUUCGGUAGCGGAAUUAACAAUCCCUCCCGCUUGCACUGGAUGUGGGGAACUACUUAAAACAGCUUGCGUACCAGAAGCAAAGUCAGGGUUCGCAUAUAGCGGCUUGGGUAUGUUUGAAGAGUCCAAAUCUAUCCUGGAGCUGGGUGAAUCGAGAGAAACCAUGGGACGAUAGCACUCACCCACUUCCACAGCGGCGAUGAUCUGUGGACGAGGCCAUCCCCUGCUUUCCACUCCGACCAGGCUCCCAGAACGUUAAGUCAGACGGAUUGUCCCGGAGGAGCGGCCCAUGGAUCCCACUCCCAUACUCCCCGCCUCUUGCCUGGUGGCGCCGGUAGUGUGGGAGCUGGACGCGGACAUUGAGUAGGCGUUACGUGCAGAGCCCGCUCCCCUCCAGUGUCCAGCUGGGCGUCAGUACGUUCCGUCUGCUGUCCGCGACCGAUUGAUCUACUGGGCCCACACGUUACCCUCCUCUGGUCAUCCUGGGAUCGGUCGGACGGUGCGCUGUCGUAGUGGGAAGUACUGGUGGCCCACUUUGGCUAAGGAUGUGAGGGUUUAUGUUUCCUCCUGCUCGGUGUGCACCCAGUGUAAGGCUCCCAGGCACCUGCCCAGAGGGUAACACUACGAUCCUGGUCGUUGUCCCUUUGCCCGGUCUCCCUACGGCCCUACAGACUGCGGAGGCCCUGUUUACACACGUCUUCCGGCACUACAGGGUGCCUGAGGAUAUGAUCGAGGUCCCCAGUUCACGUCGAGGGUCUGGAGGGCAUUCAUGGAAUGUCUGGGGGUCUCAGUCAGCCUUACCUCAGGUUUUCACCACGAGAGUAAUGGGCAGGGGGAGAGAGUUAACCAGGAUGUGGGUAGGUUUCUGAGGUCUUAUUGCCAGGACUGGUCGGGGGAGUGGGCAGCGUUCGUGCCCUGUGCAGAGAUGGCCCAGAACUCGCUCCGCCACUCCUCCACUCCUCCACUAACCUCUCUCCCUUCCAGUGUGUAUUGGGGUAUCAGCCGGUUCUGGCUCCUUGGCAUCAGAGUCAGACCGAGGCUCCUGUGGUGGACGACUGGUUCCGGUGCGCGGAGGAAACAUGGGACGCCGCCCAUGUCCACCUUCAGCGUGCCGUGCUGCGCCAGAAGAAUGGGAGAAACUCCCCAAAUACAGCUGAAGACAACACCAAUGAAGACAUGUCAGACCACCAGACGGGUCCAUCUCAGCAAAUAAGAGCCCAGCGUUGCUCUAGCCAGUGAUCAGUUUGUCUUCUCCCGUCAAGGCCUACAAGCGUGUUCCCGUAUUUCCUGUGCUCUAGUUUUGUUUUUCCUAAUCUUCCCAGUUUUGACCAUUCUGCCUGCCCUGACCCUGAGCCUGCCUGUCUGACGUUCUGUACCUUUCUGACACUGCCCUGGAUUACUGACAUCUGCCUGCCCUGACCCUGAGCCUGCCUGCCGUUCUGUACUUUACUGACUCUGCCCUGGAUUACUGACCUCUGCCUGCCCUUGACCUGUCGUUUGCCUGUCCCGUUUUCAAAAAAAAACAUCUGUGAUUCGAACUGUUUGCAUCUGGGUCUUAUCCUGAGUCUCGAUACAGAUGACUGGUCAAGCCAUGAACUUUCUAAUGACUGUCCAUCUCAUGAUGUUGUGAUGUUGUUUUUCUAAAUCUCUUCUUUUGUGUUUUGAAGUGCUUAGAGAUUCUUUGAAAAGCACUAUAUAAGUUCAAUAAAUUAUAAUUCUCAUUAACUCUCUAAAUGGCUCUGCAACAACCUUGUAACAUCAUCUCAGUACUACAACAACCUUAUAACAUCAUUAUGACAUCAUCUCAGUGCAAAAAAACCUUGUUACAACCUUGUGUUGUGACUUUGUGGUUGCCUUGGCAGAGAGCUGCUGU